rnacentral:snRNA from 1 species
GUGCUCUCUUCGUAAGCACAUAUACUAAAAUUGGAACGAUAAAGAGAUUAGCAUGGUCCCUGUGCAAGGAUGACAAAUUCGUGAAGCUUUCCAUAUUUAA